rnacentral:rRNA from 1 species
GAUGAACGCUAGCUACAGGCUUAACACAUGCAAGUCGAGGGGCAGCGGGAUUGAAGCUUGCUUCAAUUGCCGGCGACCGGCGCACGGGUGAGUAACGCGUAUCCAACCUUCCGUACACUCAGGGAUAGCCUUUCGAAAGAAAGAUUAAUACCUGAUGGUAUGAUGAGAUUGCAUGAUAGCAUCAUUAAAGAUUUAUCGGUGAUGGAUGGGGAUGCGUCUGAUUAGCUGGUUGGAGGGGUAACGGCCCACCAAGGCGACGAUCAGUAGCCGGUCUGAGAGGAUGAACGGCCACACUGGAACUGAGACACGGUCCAGACUCCUACGGGAGGCAGCAGUGGGGAAUCUUCCGCAAUGGCGAAAGCCUGACGGAGCAACGCCGCGUGAGUGAUGACGGCCU